UACGUAAGGACCGAGCGUUGUCCGGAAUCAUUGGGCGUAAAGGGUACGUAGGCGGUUUGAAAAGUUUAAAGUGAAAGGGUAGAGCUCAACGAUAUUAAGCCUUUGAAACUGGUUAACUUGAGUACUGGAAAGGAUAGUGGAAUUCCUAGUGUAGCGGUGAAAUGCGUAGAUAUAAGGAGGAAUACCGGUGGCGAAGGCGACUUUCUAGCCAGAAACUGACGCUGAGGUACGAAAGCGUGGGUAGCAAAGAGG
rnacentral:rRNA from 1 species